rnacentral:rRNA from 1 species
GACGAACGCUGGCGGCGUGCUUAACACAUGCAAGUCGAACGGAAAGGCCCUGCUUGCAGGGUACUCGAGUGGCGAACGGGUGAGUAACACGUGGGUGAUCUGCCCUGCACUUCGGGAUAAGCCUGGGAAACUGGGUCUAAUACCGGAUAGGAGCCAUUUUUAGUGUGAUGGUUGGAAAGUUUUUUCGGUGUAGGAUGAGCUCGCGGCCUAUCAGCUUGUUGGUGGGGUAAUGGCCUACCAAGGCGGCGACGGGUAGCCGGCCUGAGAGGGUGGACGGCCACAUUGGGACUGAGAGACGGCCCAGACUCCUACGGGAGGCAGCAGUGGGGAAUAUUGCACAAUGGGCGCAAGCCUGAUGCAGCGACGCCGCGUGGGGGAUGACGGCCUUCGGGUUGUAAACUCCUUUCGCUAGGGACGAAGCUUUUUGUGACGGUACCUAGAUAAGGAGCACCGGCUAACUAC